UUCCCGUGGGGGGGGGGGGCAUUUUUUGAAAAGGGACUUUUCUGUGAGAUAAUAUAUUAGAGGGGGAUAGCAAUGGCUGAAGGCUACGUGUGUGGCCAAUAUACCACGCAUGAAUGGGGAUGGUCUGGGGGAGUACUCCCCCAGAAAAUUUUUGAAAUUUGAAUCCCGGAAAUGUAAUUUCCUGCAUUCUGAGCAUCCAAAUUUGCUCCAAAAUUUAUGCUAACUAUACUUGUAUUUGAAAUAAAUAAAGGAAAAAACGCACAAAAAGUUAAAAAAAUUAACCAUCAUUUAUCGUUACUUAUUAGAGGAGGAUGGCAAUGGUCAGGUGUGUGGGGGUGUACUCCCCCAGAAAAUUUUUGAAAUUUGAAGCACGAAAAUACA